AAGUCCCGCAACGAGCGNAACCCCUAUCACUAGUUGCCAGCACGUUAUGUGGGGACUCUAGUGAGACUGCCGGUGACAAACCGGAGGAAGGUGGGGAUGACGUCAAGUCAUCAUGGCCCUUAUGUGUAGGGCUACACACGUGCUACAAUGGACGGUACAGAGGGUCGCCAACCCGCGAGGGGGAGCUAAUCUCAGAAAACCGUUCUCAGUCCGGAUCGAAGUCUGCAACUCGACUUCGUGAAGUCGGAAUCGCUAGUAAUCGCGUAACAGCAUGACGCGGUGAAUACGUUCCCGGGCCUU
rnacentral:rRNA from 1 species